rnacentral:rRNA from 1 species
GACGAACGCUGGCGGCGUGCCUAACACAUGCAAGUCGAACGGAAAGGCCCUGCUAUUGUGGGGUGCUCGAGUGGCGAACGGGUGAGUAACACGUGAGUAACCUGCCCUUGACUUUGGGAUAACAUCAGGAAACUGGGGCUAAUACCGGAUCGGAUCCCCCGCUGCAUGGUGGGGGUGGGAAAGUUUCGGCGGUUUGGGAUGGACUCGCGGGUUAUCAGAUUGUUGGUGGGGUAGUGGUUUACCAAGGCUUGGACUGAUGGCCCGCCUGAGAGGUUGACCGGCGCCAAUACGACUGAGAUACGCCCCAGUCUCCUAUCUGACGCAACAGUCGAAAAUAUUACACAAUAAGCCCAAGCCUGAUACAACAACCCCCCGUUUGUAAAGCUCUCUUUCUAUUUAUAAACCGCUUUCGCCUGUGACGAAGCGUGUGUGACGGUAAUGGAUAAAGAAGCACCGGCUAACUACGUG